GAUAGGCUGCUGCUGGCUCCCUACCAAGGGGGCAUGUGCACGCUUGUCAUCUUUGUUUUUCCACCUGUGCACUCUUUGUAGACCCUAGAUAUGUAAUUGUCUGAGAAAAUCANAUAGGUUGAGGACUGCUGUGUCUUUCAAAGGGGCCAGCUUUGCCUUGUGUAUCUAGGUUCUAUGUCAUUCACAUACUCGUAUAAUGUAAUAGAAUGUUGACCUUAGGUUUUAGUACCUAUAAAGUUACAUACAACUUUCAGCAACGGAUCUCUUGGCUCUCGCAUCGAUGAAGAACGCAGCGAAAUGCGAUAAGUAAUGUGAAUUGCAGAAUUCAGUGAAUCAUCGAAUCUUUGAACGCAUCUUGCGCUCCUUGGUAUUCCGAGGAGCAUGCCUGUUUGAGUGUCAUUAAAUUCUCAACUACACUGAUUUUGUCAGUGCAGCUUGGAUUUGGGGGACCAUAUUUUUUUGCGGGCUUUGUGAAGUCGGCUCCCCUGAAAUUGAUUAGCGGUACCUUANCANAACCGUCUACNGGUGUGAUAAUUUAUCUACGCCUUGGAUGUCUGCAUGAAAGAGGUCAUGCUGCUUCCCAACCUCACUAAUGACAAUCUUGACCUCAAAUCAGGUAGGACUACCCGCUGAA
rnacentral:rRNA from 1 species